rnacentral:lncRNA from 1 species
CUUUUCUGACCCAGGGCACUUCAGAGCAGGAAGGGCUGCUGCUGCUCCCAGAGGACACAGGGCCUCUACUGCUGUCUCAGGACAGAGAGCAGAGCUGUGUUUCCAGCGGGUUCUGCCACCCGCCCCAGGGGAGACCUUGGGAGCUUUGCAGCAACUUGGCAUCUCCUGAGUCGCCAGAGAGAAGCUGCCUUGUUGUACUGAGUACUGAGGAGGGGGCCCUGGGUGGCUUCCCUGGGCAUGAUGGUUGCUAAACAGCAUAGGCCCUUGCAUUUUCUGGGUUGUUCCCGUGUUUCCUUCCUCAACUUCCUGGACAGUAUUUGAACAAGUCGUAUUUUACUAAAGGACUCGUGGAUUGCGGGGUUCCACGACUUCACCUCAUAGAUGCAGUCAAUGGUUUGUUCCAGAUUCAGGCUUGUUUCCAGUAAGAAACGCUGACAGAAAUUCAGAAGAACGCGAGCUGCAUUCCAUUAGGACUUGAAUAUACGAAAUGUUCGUCUCAGGACCGUCUAGAAGAAUGAGCUGGGACCCACUUUCCAAGUCCUGCUGGAACCAGUGACCGAGAUAUUGCCCAGGUGGCUGAGGCCUGCACUAGGGUACCUACCUCCUUUUCGGAUAGACUGUAUUCCCGUAAGUAUUGCCGUCGCUCUACCUUUGGACUUUAUCCUGCCUUGUAUCUUUCAGUCUGUUCACUUAAUUUUGUUGGAGUACUUUAAUGCUGAGGGAUGCAUAAUUGGAUUGAUUUUCACUAAAUGGUACGAGCUGCAGUUCCAAUCAUGACAGAAAGCACGUGCUUCCUGUGUUAGGUACUCAAGAGCAAGGCAGAUACCCUGGGCACUUGAGCUGAGUAUGUCACUCGGUGUUUUGCCAGCCCUCUUCCCUUCCGUGGGAGACAAGGGUCUCGUUUUGGUCACACAGAAAUGUAGGUGAAGUCAGCAGAGAAGGGUCCCUUCUCUUCUCUUCCGUUUGUCUCUCAAACUCCCUGUCACUACCUUCUGCCUGGCCCUUUCCCUGACUCAAUCCCCCAGGCCCACUGCUCCACUCCAGCCAUGAUCAGGGUGUCCUCCAGCUGCUGGCCUCGGCUCUAGCCAUCGCUCAGUGAGGAAGCU